UCCGAUAUGGUGUAACGGCUAACAUUGGCGCCUUUCACACUGGGAUACGCGCUAGCUCGGGGUUCGAUUCCCCGUAUCGGAA